rnacentral:sRNA from 1 species
GCUUAGCCCCGAUUGUAGUGACAUCCUUUUGCUUUUUUGCAAAAGAUAUAACGAAAAGCGGGAAACAGC